AUCCACCCCAAAGCCAUCCAAACCCAUUCAGGGUCACAUCCCAGUAAAACACCAGUUCAAUCCCAGUUCAAUCCCAGAUCAGUCCCAGUUCAUCCCAGUUCCCUCCCAGUCCCUCCCAGUCCCUCCCAGUCCAUCCCAGUUUAUCCCAGUCCCUCCCAGUGCCCUCUCAGUCUCUCCCAGUGCCCUCCCAGUGCUCUCCACAUCUCUCCCAGUGCCUCCCAGUCCAUUUCCCAGUGCCAUGUCCUCGCUCCCAGCGCCUCCCACUCCCCUUGCUUUGCUUCCCAGUCCCUCCCAGUCCAUCCCAGUCCCUCCCAGUCUAUCCCAGUCCCUCCCAGUGCCCUCUCAGUCUCUCCCAGUGCUCUCCACAUCUCUCCCAGUCACCUUCUCAGCGCCAGAUCCUCACUCCCAGUGCCUCCCACUCCCCUCGCUUUGCCUCCCAGUUCACUCCCAGUCCAUCUCAGUCCAACCCAGUGCAUCCCAGUCUCUCCCAGUGCCCUCCCAGUUUAUCCCAGUCUGUCCCAGUGCCCACUCAGUCUCUCCCAGUGCCUCCCAGUGCUCUCCACAUCUCUCCCAGUGCCCCCCACUCCGUUUCUCAGUGCCAGAUCCUCACUCCCAGUGCCUCUCACUCCUCUUUUUUUGCCUCCCACUCCCUCCCAGUGCAUCCCAGUCUAUCCCAGUUUAUCCCAGUCCCUCCCAGUGCUCUCCACAUCUCUCCCAGUCACCUUCCCAGUGCCAGAUCCUCACUCUCAGUGCCUCCCACUCCCCUCACUUUGCCUCCCAGUUUAUCCCAGUCCCUCCCAGUCCAUCCCGGUGACCUCCCAGUGCUCUCCACAUCUCUCCCAAGCACCUUCUCAGUGCCAGAUCCUCACUCCCAGCGCAUCUCACUCCGCUCACUUUGCCUCCCAGUCCCUCCCAGUCCAUCCCAGUCUAUCCCAGUCCCUCCCAGUCCACUCCCAGUUUAUCCCAGUUCCCUCCCAGUUUAUCCCAGUCCCUCCCAGUUUAUCCCAGUCCAUCCCAGUUCACUCCCAGUUUAUCCCAGUCCAUCCCAGUUCACUCCCAGUUUAUCCCAGUCCAUCCCAGAGCCCUCAAAGUCUCUCCCAGUGCCUCCAAGUCCCUUCCUCAGUGCCACGUCCUGAUGUCCAGCGCCCCCCAGUCUCCUCCACUCCCCUCCCAGUCCCUCCCAGUGCUCCCCACAUCUCUCCCAGUGCCUCCCAGUCCAUUUCUCACUGCCAGAUCCUCACUCCCAGUACCUCUCACUCCCCUUGCUUGGCCUCCCACUCCCUCCCAGUUUAUCCCAGUGAUCUCCCAGUCUCUCCCAGUGCUCUCAAAGUCCCUCCCAGUGCUCUCCACAUCUCUCCCAGUCACCUUCUCAUUGCCAGAUCCUCACUCUCAGUGCCUCCCACUCCCUCCCACUUUAUCCCAGUUUAUCCCAGUCCCUCUGAGUCCCAUCCCAGUUUAUCCCAGUUUAUCCCAGUCUCACCUUGAGCGCAGGGAUGUCCCCUCCACCCUCACCACGAACUCGUCCCUCUCUCUGAAGAUCCCCUCUGCCCCGCUCUGCUCCUCGUCACUGCUGUCCCCAGUGCUCCCA
rnacentral:lncRNA from 1 species